UAAUGCAAGAAUAAAUGUAAACACAAGCACAACACAAACACAACAAUAUAUAGUGGUUCGGUGCUCUCCUUAGCACCUACGUCCACUCCCCAAGCAACCCCUUGGGAAUUCACUAUAAUCUCGCGGAUUACAGUUGGAUUGUUUUCCGGGCUCACAAUCCAAAAACCUUUGUUGGUUUUACGGGCUCACCAACGAACCUAUACACUUUGGUUUUCCGGGUUUACCAAAAACCUUUGUUGGUUUUACGGGCUCACCAACGAACCUUUACACUUUGGUUUUGCGGGCUCACCAAAAACCUAUGUUGGUUUUACGGGCUUACCAACGAACCUUUGUUGGUUUUACGGGCUCACCAACGAACCUUUACAAAGUGUUUAACAAACAAAAAGAAAAGAUUCAAACUCCUAAAUGAGCAAAUGAAACAAUAUAAA
rnacentral:lncRNA from 1 species